rnacentral:piRNA from 1 species
UCAGACCAGAGAGGCUUGAAUGAGA